GGCGAACGCUGGCGGUGUGCUUAACACAUGCAAGUCGAACGGAAAGGCCCUGCUUUUGUGGGGUGCUCGAGUGGCGAACGGGUGAGUAACACGUGAGUAACCUGCCCUUGACUUUGGGAUAACUUCAGGAAACUGGGGCUAAUACCGGAUAGGAGCUCCUGCUGCAUGGUGGGGGUUGGAAAGUUUCGGCGGUUGGGGAUGGACUCGCGGCUUAUCAGCUUGUUGGUGGGGUAGUGGCUUACCAAGGCUUUGACGGGUAGCCGGCCUGAGAGGGUGACCGGCCACAUUGGGACUGAGAUACGGCCCAGACUCCUACGGGAGGCAGCAGUGGGGAAUAUUGCACAAUGGGCGGAAGCCUGAUGCAGCAACGCCGCGUGCGGGAUGACGGCCUUCGGGUUGUAAACCGCUUUCGCCUGUGACGAAGCGUGAGUGACGGUAAUGGGUAAAGAAGCACCGGCUAACUACGUG
rnacentral:rRNA from 1 species